GAUCAUGGUGUUUGACGCACUCUUAUUAGUGGUGCGACAAAAGAAAAACUCAAGUUUUAAUUAUAUAUCAAGAGGUUGGAUAAAUGAGAAUAUUUGACUGUAAAACCUCUAUAUUUUAUUGAGAACCUACAGAAUUUGUGUUACUCUAUAAAUUGUGAAGUCUCAUUUUACUCAAAACUCAUAUUUUUAUCCUUCUUUUUUAUAAAUUAAAAAAAAAUUCAAAGAAGAGUUUCAUUAGAUAAACUUCAAUAAUACACACUAAACCCAAAAGGGCACUGAAAUGAACAUACUAAAAAAGGAAAAUUAAAGCGGACAAACUUCUUACCAACAACUACUAUAGCCCACAUCACCA
rnacentral:lncRNA from 1 species